rnacentral:lncRNA from 1 species
AUAUGCUGAAUCUAACCAUGUAUUUAGAUUUUGGAUAUUGGACCAUAAUAGGUAAAUGUUUAAUUUAAAAUUUUUAAGUUUAAGUUCUUAGACCACAUUCAUUGUGUGUCAGAAACCUUUGUUGUGUCAACUAUUUAAUCACAAUCCAAAUUCAGAGCCGUAUCAAGCUUACAUGUUGUGUUCAUACUUGCCCCAACUGUUCAGGGUUCGAUCUCUGCGGUCGUAUAAAGCUGCGCCCUGCGGAGCAUCUGGUUGUAU